UUUUUUUUUUUUUUUUUUUCUGCUGUAGUUAAUCCUUAAUCUUUUCCGUCAUUCUUCACUUGAUGCAAGACAGCUUGCAGGUCUUAGAAUUAAGGUUGAAUUUGGGGUUUACUUGAGGGAUAAAAUGAGCGGGAUUUAGGUGAAACAACUAGGGUUUGUGAAAGGAUGGUAUUGAGAAGCAAAUUUAAAUAAGAAAGGAAGAUUUGUAGGCUGUGAACAGUAAAAUAAAAGGUU
rnacentral:misc_RNA from 1 species